CAUAUUAUCUUCCAUCAUGUUCUAACCCAAGAGACUGGACACAGUUCCCUCUGCUACACAGCAGGACCUUAUUGCUUAUCCAUUAUAAAUGUAAUAGUUUGCAUCUACCAACCCCAAACUCCCAGUCCAUUCCUGAGCACAGUUUUUAAUUCUCUUCUGAUGUUUAUUCCUAUUACCUGGCUCUCUAUUGAAAAGGUUUCCUAUAUUUUAAUAUUUUCUAGAAGUUACUGGAUUUAAUUCUUCCCUUGGUGACCAAAAACCCUCUACAUCUGUUGCUCUCCCCAACCCCCAACAAAAUGUCUUCUAGUUUUCUAAGAAUGAAUUUGAGCUGCUUCAUAAAAUUAUCAUUCAACACUACCAGGAACUGAGAAAUUGAGAGUAUUGAGCAUGAACUUUUCUACCAAAGAAAGGGCCAAAUACACUUAAAGGACAUCUAUGAACAGAGGGAGAGUUCUGUGUGCAUCCCUCAGUGUUCUGCUGCUCAUGGUCUACCCUCCUUCCAGGAGUCUAGCUUUUCUCUUGAAGGUCUUGCUUGUUCCAGCCUGACAGUGGACUGUAGGGCUGGUCUGUCCAUCAAUCUGCUAGUUCUCUUCACAGAAGACUUUUUCACAAUGGAGGAGUUCCCACUGUGGCUCAGCAGGUUAAGAACCUGACAUAGUGUCUGAGAGGAUGCAGGUUUGAAACCCAGACUCGAUCAGUGGGUUAAGGAUCCUGCAUUGCCACAAGCUGUGGUGUAGGUUGAAGAUACAGCUUAGAUCUGGUGUUGCAAUAGCUGUGGCACAGGCUUGUAGCUGCAACACUGAUUUGACACCUAGCCUGCUAACUUCCAUAUGCUGCAGGUAUGGCCAUAAAAAGAAAAAAAAUAAUUAAAUCAAAUUGAGAAUGGAGCUGAAACCCACCUGCCCAGUGAAGAAUUCAGAGUGCCUGUCUGAAGUUGGCGAUAGCAGAGCACAGAUGUCUACAGGCAUCUGGACAAAUUAUUUAUCCCAGCUCACCAUAAAUAUCUCCAUUGGAUUUAGGAAUAAAGUCGUUAGUUCCUGAGAAGAGUUUCCUGUAAAGGGCAAGCUAUGUUCACUGACACGUACUCAAUGGUUCCCCAGGGCGGAGCAGGAAUGGUUCCCUUAGGAAGCCACUGCAUCCAGGUUGAGCUCUCAGCAAACCAUUCCUGGUCUCUGGUCUAAUUAACCUACACACAUUGGGGUGUGUGUGUAUAAAACAGAGAUGCUGACAUGCUGGCAUUUAUGCUGCUGAUACAAAAUGUUCUGAGUGUUGUUGAUGUAAGCGGUGCUGACAUAAACCUUCUCCUUGAGAACAGCUGCUGGAGGUACUUUUCCAUUAUCUUCCUGUGGAUUAACUUGAAGCAUUCUCUGGGCUAAGAUGUACCCACUAUAGAGAUUCAAUCCCCUAACAUGAAAAAAUAACCUCUAGGCUGUUCAAUGACCUAUUUCUUUCAUGUGUUUACUCCUUAGAGCAUAGCUAUUUAAAGUUCAGUAUCAGAUGAAUAAUGCAGUACUGAUUGUCUUUAUACAAGAGGUUCAGUUUGCAGGGAUCUAAAAAUGACUAAAGUGUACUUGGUUUGGGGUGGAAAGUGGAGGCAUGAUUGUUAAUAUCAUAUAAAAUAAGUUAGGUCAUAUUACAGACUUCACAUAAACUACUUGAGUUCACUGACAAAUAGUUGCCACUGUUGAUAACUUUGUAGAUGAAGGUGAUGAAACCUGGAGUUCUUCAGGGAGAAUUGCACACAGACUCAACAUAAUACACACAUACUUAAAGGGUUUAGGACCUCCUAAAGUCACCUAAGCAGCCUAGGAACCUUCCUUGAUUGGUUCCAUUACAUGACCAGAGAUGACAUUUUCUACCUACAUUUGGGGUGCUUUAUCCCCAAUAAGGCUUUUAAAAGAUGACAUCUUCACCCACAUGUCUUCCUUUAACAUGGAUAAUCAAGGACUGUAUGGUUUUUUUUUGUUUUUUUGUCUUUUUGCUAUUUCUAGGGCGGCUCCCUCGGCAUAUGGAGGUUCCCAGGCUAGGGGUCGAAUCGGAGCUGUAGCCGUCGGCCUGCGCCAGAGCCACAGCAACGCGGGAUCCGAGCCGUGUCUGCCACCUACACCACAGCUCACGGUAAUGCCGGACCGUUAACCCACUGAGCAAGGCCAGGGAUCGAACCCGCAACCUCAUGGUUCCUAGUGGGAUUCGUUAACCACUGUGCCACGACGGGAACUCCCGGAUUGUGUGUUUUAACAGGAUCUUCUGGCUACUGGAUGUGUAUUAGUUGUAUUAAGUCAAGUCUUCCAAGAAGCUCAUGUCAAGGUGGGGUUAGACAUGCAAGAAUUCACUGGGAGGAAUGCGCAGGUAGGAGAAAGGAGAAGGGGACAGGAGUGGCAGGUGAGUCUUCACACCUGGAAGCAGAUAUCAUGCCUGUUAAAGCAGAGACAGGAGGAAGGCUUGGUAGGAAGAGUUUCAGAUGGCAGCUCUGUUCUAGAAAGUCUCACCAGGCCAACUGGAGUCCUGGAGUGAAGGUUGUGUGUUGGAGGAGGUCCAUGCCAA
rnacentral:lncRNA from 1 species